UUUAAUUUUAAAUCAUAAUUGACAAUUGUCUUAGCUGAAAAGUAAUUAAAUUAUGAAGACAGUUGGUAUGGAAUUUUAAUUUCUUUAUAAUAUUAGUUCGGAGCUUGUGAUUAAUAGCCAGGUGUGAAUUAAAAACACAGGUAAAGAGAUUAGCGAUCAUUAGCCAAUAGCUCCCCGAGGCAUUAAUAUAGUUAUUAAGAGGGCCCUCAGGAUUAUAACACUUUACUGAAGUGACAGUUUAAUUACAUAAAAUCGAUAACAAAACAAAAAUAUGUUCAAAAUUACGAUUUUGAAACUCGAUCUUAAAGAAAUGACAGAAAUUAUUUCUGUUGAAAAAUAAAAUUUGACCUAAAUCCCAAUGAAUCAUUUAGGACUUUUGAGUUUCCAAAUCGGUCAUGUCUGGCAUAUAUGACCGUUUCCGGAC
rnacentral:lncRNA from 1 species